AUACUUACCUGACAGGGGAGAUACCAUGAUCACGAAAGUGGUUUUCCCAGGGCAAGGCUUAUCCCUUGCACUCUGGAUGUGCUGACCCCUGCGAUUUCCCCAAAUGUGGGAAACUCCACUGCAUAAUUUGUGGUGGGGGGGGCCUGCGAUCAGUGUAUGGCUGGCACUUC